AUUGAACGCUGGCGGCAUGCUUUACACAUGCAAGUCGAACGGUAACAGGCCGCAAGGUGCUGACGAGUGGCGAACGGGUGAGUAAUGCAUCGGAACGUGCCCAGUCGUGGGGGAUAACGCAGCGAAAGCUGCGCUAAUACCGCAUACGAUCUCUGGAUGAAAGCGGGGGACCGAAAGGCCUCGCGCGAUUGGAGCGGCCGAUGUCAGAUUAGGUAGUUGGUGGGGUAAAGGCCCACCAAGCCAACGAUCUGUAGCUGGUCUGAGAGGACGACCAGCCACACUGGGACUGAGACACGGCCCAGACGCCUACGGGAGGCAGCAGUGGGGAAUUUGGACAAUGGGCGCAAGCCUGAUCCAGCAAUGCCGCGUGCAGGAAGAAGGCCUUCGGGUUGUAAACUGCUUUUGUACGGAACGAAACGGUCCGGGUUAAUACCCUGGGCUAAUGACGGUACCGUAAGAAUAAGCACCGGCUAACUACGUGCCAGCAGCCGCCGUAACAC
rnacentral:rRNA from 1 species